GACGAACGCUGGCGGCGUGCUUAACACAUGCAAGUCGAACGGUGAACCUCUUCGGAGGGGAUCAGUGGCGAACGGGUGAGUAACACGUGGGCAACCUGCCCCCGGCUCUGGGAUAACUCCAAGAAAUUGGGGCUAAUACCGGAUGUUCACCGCUUCCCGCAUGGGUGGUGGUGGAAAGGGUUUCCGGCUGGGGAUGGGCCCGCGGCCUAUCAGCUUGUUGGUGGGGUAGUGGCCUACCAAGGCGACGACGGGUAGCCGGCCUGAGAGGGUGACCGGCCACACUGGGACUGAGAAACGGCCCAGACUCCUACGGGAGGCAGCAGUGGGGAAUAUUGCGCAAUGGGCGGAAGCCUGACGCAGCGACGCCGCGUGGGGGAUGACGGCCUUCGGGUUGUAAACCUCUUUCAGCAGGGACGAAGCGCAAGUGACGGUACCUGCAGAAGAAGCACCGGCCAACUACGUG
rnacentral:rRNA from 1 species